AGCGAACGUUAGCGGCGGGCUUAACACAUGCAAGUCGAACGAGAAAGCGUCCUUCGGGCGUGAGUAGAGUGGCGCACGGGUGAGUAACACGUGGGUAAUCUGCCCUUCGGUGGGGGACGAACAGCUCGAAAGGGCUGCUAAUACCGCAUACGUCGGUGACGGCCUCGGCUGUUACCGGGAAAGGUGGGGAUCGUAAGACCUAUCGCCGAAGGAGGAGCCCGCGGCCCAUCAUGCUUGUUGGUGAGGUAAAAGCUCACCAAGGCCAAGACGGGUAGCUGGUCUGAGAGGAUGAUCAGCCACACUGGGACUGAGACACGGCCCAGACUCCUACGGGAGGCAG
rnacentral:rRNA from 1 species